CUACGGGAGGCAGCAGUGGGGAAUUUUCCAGGGCUAGCGCGAAGCUGACGGAGCAUGCCGCGUGGAGGUGGAAGGCCCACGGGUCGUCAACUUCUUUUCUCGGAGAAGAAACAAUGACGGUAUCUGAGGAAUAAGCAUCGGCUAACUCUGUGCCAGCAGCCGCGGUAAUA
rnacentral:rRNA from 1 species